UACAAUAAGCGGAGGAAAAGAAACCAACAGGGAUUGCCUCAGUAACGGCGAGUGAAGCGGCAACAGCUCAAAUUUGAAAUCUGGCCUCCUUGGGGGUCCGAGUUGUAAUUUGUAGAGGAUGCUUCGGCGUGGGCCCCGGUCUAAGUUCCUUGGAACAGGACGUCACAGAGGGUGAGAAUCCCGUACGUGGCCGUGGGUGCUCGCCAUGUGAAGCUCCUUCGACGAGUCGAGUUGUUUGGGAAUGCAGCUCUAAAUGGGAGGUAUAUUUCUUCUAAAGCUAAAUAUUGGCCAGAGACCGAUAGCGCACAAGUAGAGUGAUCGAAAGAUGAAAAGCACUUUGGAAAGAGAGUCAAAAAGUACGUGAAAUUGUUGAAAGGGAAGCGCUUGCAACCAGACCUGUCUGCAGUUGCUCAUCCGGGCUUCUGCCCGGUGCACUCUUCUGCAGUCAGGCCAGCAUCAGUUCUGGCGGUCGGAUAAAGGCGGUGGGAAUGUGGCUCCUCUCGGGGAGUGUUAUAGCCCAUCGUGCAAUGCGGCCAGCUGGGACUGAGGUCCGCGCUUCGGCUAGGAUGCUGGCGUAAUGGUUGUAAGCGGCCCGUCUUGAAACACGGACCAAGGAGUCUAACAUCUGUGCGAGUGUUUGGGUGUCAAGCCCAGGCGCGUAAUGAAAGUGAACGGAGGCGGGAACCUUCGGGUGCACCGUCGACCGAUCCUGAUGUCUUCGGAUGGAUUUGAGUAAGAGCAUAGCUGUUGGGACCCGAAAGAUGGUGAACUAUGCCUGAAUAGGGUGAAGCCAGAGGAAACUCUGGUGGAGGCUCGCAGCGGUUCUGACGUGCAAAUCGAUCGUCAAAUUUGGGCAUAGGGGCGAAAGACUAAUCGAACUAUCUAGUAGCUG
rnacentral:rRNA from 1 species